AUUGAUACUUAUCAAUGUACUGUUCUUACUGUCUUAAAAAUAUUAUUAGUAUUGUAUCAAUUUGUUGUCGUUAUUGUAUUAAUAUGUUGUCAUUAUCGUAUCAAUGAAGUUAGCGGUAUUUGAGCAAAAAGGGUAGUGUAGAUUAGUGUUUUAAACAGGGGUGCAAGGCAGUUUUUGGUUGGUAAGUUUGAGAGGGCUACUAAUUUUCCAAUGUUCUUUGUCAUUUUUGUUUAUGUUCAUGGUUGGAUUUCUAUAAAGUAUAUUUCAUCCAUCAAUUCACUAC
rnacentral:lncRNA from 1 species